rnacentral:rRNA from 1 species
UAGGGAAUCUUGCGCAAUGGGCGAAAGCCUGACGCAGCCAUGCCGCGUGAAUGAUGAAGGUCUUAGGAUUGUAAAAUUCUUUCACCGGGGAAGAUAAUGACGGUACCCGGAGAAGAAGCCCCGGCUAACUUCGUGCCAGCAGCCGCGGUAAUACGAAGGGGGCUAGCGUUGCUCGGAAUUACUGGGCGUAAAGGGCGCGUAGGCGGAUACUUAAGUUGGGGGUGAAAGCCCGGGGCUCAACCUCGGAAUUGCCUUCAAUACUGGGUAUCUUGAGUUCGGGAGAGGUGAGUGGAAUGCCGAGUGUAGAGGUGAAAUUCGUAGAUAUUCGGCGGAACACCAGUGGCGAAGGCGACUCACUGGCCCGAUACUGACGCUGAGGCGCGAAAGCGUGGGGAGCAAACA